rnacentral:tRNA from 1 species
UGGGGAUUAGUGUAACGGUAGCACAACUGAUUCUGGCUCAGUUAGUAAAGGUUCAAAUCCUUUAUCCCCAG